UAUUCCUUCUUUAUGUAUUUCAGGUGAUACACUUGGUUCAGUUGUAUAUGUUCCAUGUGAAGUGAUGAAGCAACGCAUGCAGGUUCAAGGCACGAUGGCCUCUUGGAGUUCUGUUGUCAUGAAAGAUUAUGUCGCCAUGAAGCCCGGGUAUCCAAAUGUAUGGUUACUAUACUGGGAUGUUCCAUGCUGGCUGCUCAAUAUGGAAUGAGCAGGGGCUAAGAGGAUUAUAUGCAGAUACUGGUCUACACUUGCUAGGGAUGUGCCUUUUGCUGGUCUAAUGGUUAUGUUUUACAAGGCUUGAAAGAUUUGACAGAGUUUGGGAAGCAGAAAUACAU